CGUGCCGUCGGACAGCGGUGAUCCUGAGGUACUGGGGAGUGCUGAUGACGGAUCGCCACUGAGCCCGGAGCCGCAGCCAAGGGAAUGCGGACCGAGUGCCCGGCGAAGGAG
rnacentral:sRNA from 1 species